rnacentral:rRNA from 1 species
UACGGGGGGAGCAAGCGUUGUUCGGAUUUACUGGGCGUAAAGGGCGCGUAGGCGGCCACCGCAGGUAGGUUGUGAAAUCUCCGGGCUUAACCCGGAAAGGUCAAUCGAUACUGCGGGGCUAGAGUGCAGAAGGGGCAACUGGAAUUCUCGGUGUAGCGGUGAAAUGCGUAGAUAUCGAGAGGAACACCUGCGGCGAAGGCGGGUUGCUGGGCUGACACUGACGCUGAAGCGCGAAAGCUAGGGGAGCAAACGGG